AAUGUGCGUAAUCGUCACCUGUCUCUCGUUACCUGUUGUGUAUUCAAGUCCAGUCUGCGUGUCGUUAGAUUGUUCUGUUAGUUUUUCGGUUCCUCCUAUUAUUCUUUCUCUUGUUAGUUUGUCGGUUCCUCCUGUUACUCUGGCCCUGUUAGUUCUGUUUCUGUUAGCCAGCCCUGUCAGUCCCGUUGUCGUCUGUUAGCCCGUUCUAUUAGUUUGUUUGUUUGUUUGUUCCUGCCUGUUCCUGCUUGCUGGUUCCCUUCAUCCUCUCCUCCAACAACCUUUUCCCUCACUAAACCCUGGUCCAAGCUACUCAGAAACAAACGACGACAUCUUGAAUUUCACGUGGAACCGAACACACAAUUAAAUCCUGAAGAAGACCAGGGUCUCAAUUGUUUACUUCAAGGCCUUUCCUGGCAAUACAUCACAACGGCAACAAUGGAGGCCGUCCCCGGGGAACCGCCGCUUGGCUACUCACGCACGGCCUUGUGGGAAAGGCGAAGAACGGAUUUUGGGUCGAGUGCUUCAAUCCAGUUGAGUGGAGCAAGAUUGAAUCUGCGAGGCCUAUGCCGCUAUUCAAGGGGGAUAAAAGGAUUUCCAGACCCAAACAAAAUGGCUGCUGAGCGGGAAAUGUGAGGGCGAGACGGCGCCGCGGUGAAGGAGGGUCGAGUGCGAGUCAUUUCGAGUCGCCAUUUUGUGUCACUUCCUGGCUGCUAAAAAGCUAAUCCUGUUAGCCGCCACGCCAGCGCCCAGCUCCAGUGCUGACCGGGCGAAAAGACGCUCAAGUGGAGGGGAAGAGUAAUUAGAGAGGUGUCAUGAUACAAGAAGUCAUACAGGAGCUACCAACACUUAGCUGAUAAUCAUCGGAGCAAAAGAAGGAAGCCUCAGGAGUUCCGGUGGCGAUUUUGCCCCUGACAAGUUGAAGUUGCGUGCACUUGACAUGUUUUAUCUCGGACGGACGGCGGCACAGCGGCAAUUACUGGACCAUCAUUGCGCUGUCAGUAGUGCUGGCUUGUGAGUGAACGAUUCGUUCAAAAGACCGAAUAUUUUCAGUGAACGAGAGUGACCGAAUCACUUCCUAAACGGAGUCCUUCUUUUUUCAGUUCAUAUGACUUCAACCAGUAGGUGUCGGUAAUGCCCAUUGAAGCUGGUGCCACCUCGCCGUAAAACAAAACGAAGAAGAAAAUGACGUAAUUUCCUGUUCACAAACGAGUUGUGAAUUGCAUUUCCCCUUCACCAACGAACGAAUCUGUGAGUGAUUCGCAUUUCUAGUUCUUUGCGAGAACGGAUCAGUGAGGGAACGAAUCCUGACUUUCCCGUUGGCGAACGAGUCAAUGGGUCAACUGCCUUCCUUCCCGUGCAUCAACGGAUCAGUCAGUGAACGUCUCCUGGCGUGAACUAUGUAAGCCAGAAUGUAGAUGUACGAUUUGCCAAGGAAAGAAAGAACCACUCAGUAAAACACUUUGAUGCACGUUUUCUCCAAGCUAACGACUAACUUUAUUGCAUGAAGGGAUGCGCCGUUAUGCAACAACGGGGAGAUUAUGCUUCUCUUUGGGUAAUUUUGAUAUUAUAAUACUUAUAGUAGUUUAUAAAUAACGUGUAUGCAUAUAUACGCCUAAAUAUUGUUAUCCAAUAUAUCUACUGCAAGUUCACAUUAGAUUGCUGGUUUGAAAUUUUUUUUUAUUAUUAUUAUUUUUAUUUUAAUCAACAUUAAAACCUGUUAAAACUUGUCUGGUAUUUUUUUAUUCCUUGUCUUCAUUUUUUGGGGCAUGAAAACAAAAAUCUGACGUUCUGUUAACUGCUUUAUAUGACAAUAUGUAUAUAUAUGUGUUUUACGUUGUGUAACGUGUUGGUGUCCCCCAAAAUAAAGAGCAAGUAGUCAAAUACACAUUCUUGACACGUACAAAAAAUACGUGCAAUAGGUUCACUACACGAGGUAAAAAAAAGAAUAAAUAAAGGGUUAAUUGCACAAUAAGAACACAUUUAUGCAUGUCCUCUCACCUGUGGUCGAACCAAGUUAUUACUGUGGAAGAACCCGUGUUACUAACCAGUCAGCUAUUUCCACCUCACAGCCUCUGGUCGUCUGCACUGUUUUGUACUAGUGAGGUGCAGUCCAGUUAAUUGAAUCUUUAGAAUUGGUUCACUCAACAUUUUUGUUCAAAAGAAUCGUUCACCGAACCAUUCGCUACACUUUAUUUAUUCUUUUUUACCUCGUGUAGUGUACCUAUUGUAGUGUCCAUAAAGUGUACCUAAUCACAGACCAUUUCAUUAGGGAAAAAGCUUAAGUAAAAGUGAAAAGUGCCACACCCGCCCUCACCCCCACUUUCUGAUUGGCUGUUUGAUCUGUGACGUCACUUGGACAGUCCAUUAGGUACACCGCCAUUUUCAAGUGUAUCUAAUAAGAGGCCACUUUAUUAGGGAAAUAUUAUGGUCAAAAGUCACGUGUCAAGCUCUAGUCCUCAGGGCCGCAUUCCAACAUGUUUUCCAAGAUUCCCUCGUUAAGUGCACCUGCGUGAAAAGUUUUUGGUCAUUUUCACGUUCUGCAGGAGCUAAAACUUUUCACGCAGGUGCACUUAACGAGGGAAUCACACAGACACUCCAUUAGGUACACCGCCAUUUUCAAGUGUACCUAAUAGGCCACUUUCUUAGGGAAAUAUCAUGGUCAAAGGUCACAGGUGUCAAGAUUUAGUCCUCGGGGCUGCAUUCCAACAUGUUUCCCAAGAUUCCCUCGUUAAGCGCACCUGCGUGAAAAGUUUUAGCUCCUGCAGAAUGUGAAAAUGACCAAAAACUUUUCACGCAGGUGCACUUAACGAAGGAAUCACGCGGACACCCCAUUAGGUACACUGCCAUUUUCAAGUGUACCUAAUAACAGGCCACUUUAUUCGGGAAAUAUCAUGGUCAAAGGUCACAGGUGUCAAGCUCUAGUCCUCGGGGCCGCGUUCCAAUAUGUUUUCCAAGUUACCCUCGUUAAACACACUUGCGUGAAAAGAUUUUGAUCAUUUUCACGUUUUGCGGGAGCUAAAACUUUUCACGCAGGUGCGCUUAACGAGGGAAUCACACUCCAUUUGCAGGUGCAGUCCAGUUAAUUGAAUCUUUAGAAUUGGUUCACUCAACAUUUUUGUUCAAAAGAAUCGUUCACCGAACCAUUCGCUACACUUUAUUUAUUCUUUUUUACCUCGUGUAGUGUACCUAUUGUAGUGUCCAUAAAGUGUACCUAAUCACAGACCAUUUCAUUAGGGAAAAAGCUUAAGUAAAAGUGAAAAGUGCCACACCCGCCCUCACCCCCACUUUCUGAUUGGCUGUUUGAUCUGUGACGUCACUUGGACAGUCCAUUAGGUACAUCGCCAUUUUCAAGUGUAACUAAUAACAGGCCACUUUAUUAGGGAAAUAUCAUAGUCAAAGGUCACAGGUGUCAAGCUCUAGUCCUCGGGGCCGCGUUCCAAUAUGUUUUUCAAGUUACCCUCGUUAAACACACACAACCGAUUCUAAAGAUUCAUGUCACUUGCCUGGAAUGCAUAUCACUAGUACAAAACAGUGCAAGCAAUUGUAGGCUGCCGGUCAAAAUAGCCGACUGGUUAGUAACUCGGGCUCUUGCUCGGAAGAACUUGGUUCAAGCCCAGGUGCGAGAAAAGUUAAGUCAUUUUCUUCUUUUUGUUUUACGGCGAGGUGGCACCAGUUUCAUUGGGCAUUACCGACACCUACUGGUUGAAGUCAUAUGAACUAAAAAAAGAACGAAUCACUUGAGGAAGUGAAAAUGGAGGUGUACCUAUUGCAGUGUCCGUGUAACAUCACAGAUUUGUUGAACGAUUCGUUUGAACGAAUCUUUUGAGAGAACUGAUUCCAAAGAUUCAGUUCACUUAAAAGAACUGUAAUGCACAUCACUAGCUGUCAGGCAGGGGUCUAAAGGUACUCCUAAAUUGCCACAGCACUACUUUUCUCUUGUUCUUUUCUGCUGACCCAAACAGUCAACCACUAGUUUGUGAAUUUUUACGGAGUUUUUUUUUUCUUAAGCGUUUUUACAGUAUCUAUGCAAUUCUGAGUUUCCCCCCACAUCACAAAAAACAUGCUUGAUAGGCCGAUUGGGCACUCUAAUUUGCCUCUAGGUGUGAGUGCGGAUGGUUGUUCGUAUCUGUGUGACGUGCGAUUGAUUGUGUGUGUGUGUGUGUGUGUGUGUGCGUGCGUGCGUGCAUGUGUAUAUAUAUAUGUGCAAUUUUCACACACACGCAUCAAGCCUAUAUAUAACAGGCAUACUCCAAGCGCCCCCACUGUAUGUCAACCAGAUGCUUGUGUUGUUGUUAGCCGUAAUGGAAACUGAAGUGCGUUUGCUGCUAUUAGCGUCUCCCCUUUCAAAUAGCUGCUAUUAUAAUAAUGACACCCCUUUUUAUCAGGAUUAUUGUAACAACGGUGAGCAUUAGCGUUAGCAUAAACGUUGUGCUGCCAGGUGGAGGAAAAUGUCGCCACUGGAGCACCCCUGCACGCAACCCGCCUCACUUGGAAAGUGGCUUUUUCGGAGGUUUUUUUUUCCCAAUUCAAAAACGGUGUGUGCGACGUGUGUGGACAAAGUGGUGACACGUGAGCUCUUGUUGUAGAUCCUGUUUAUUUACCUAUGUACAACAUUUGAUUACAUGGCCAGUAACGUUUACAAAUAAUAAAU